AUUGAACGCUGGCGGCAGGCCUAACACAUGCAAGUCGAACGGUAACAGGAAGCAGCUUGCUGCUUCGCUGACGAGUGGCGGACGGGUGAGUAAUGUCUGGGAAACUGCCGGAUGGAGGGGGAUAACUACUGGAAACGGUAGCUAAUACCGCAUAACGUCGCAAGACCAAAGAGGGGGACCUUAGGGCCUCUUGCCAUCGGAUGUGCCCAGAUGGGAUUAGCUAGUAGGUGGGGUAACGGCUCACCUAGGCGACGAUCCCUAGCUGGUCUGAGAGGAUGACCAGCCACACUGGAACUGAGACACGGUCCAGACUCCUACGGGAGGCAGCAGUGGGGAAUAUUGCACAAUGGGCGCAAGCCUGAUGCAGCCAUGCCGCGUGUAUGAAGAAGGCCUUCGGGUUGUAAAGUACUUUCAGCGGGGAGGAAGGGAGUAAAGUUAAUACCUUUGCUCAUUGACGUUACCCGCAGAAGAAGCACCGGCUAACUCCGUG
rnacentral:rRNA from 1 species